AGGAAAUGGUGAAUUCAGGAUUUGCUGCUCACACUGUGACUGUAAUUGCUCUGAUUAAGGCAUUAUUUAAGGCGGGAAUGAAUGAGGAGUUGAGUCAAUUUAUAGAGAACAUACUCAGAAGCUGUAGGGUAACCGAUGCUGAGCUUGCAAAAAUUCUUGUCGAAAUCAACCAUAAAGAAGGAAACAUGGAUGUAGUUUUUAAUGUGCUUACUGAAAUGGCUAAAGAUGGACUCCUUCCCAACAGCUUAAAAUCUGCAUAUGCUGUGGAAUAAUGCCAUAUUCCUCUAAUUUUAUGAGCUUGUUCUUCUAUGUUCCAUCAAGUGGGUGAUGGGAGAAGGUCAAGUUUCAAGAAUCUUGUUUAUAAUUUUCAGUUUUAAUUCUUCAAGGGCCUGUAGAGACUCUGCCAAAGGAGCCUUCUUUUCUAUCAUUCUGCCGCACUUUCUCAUGACACCACCAUGAUUCUUUCAAGUGCUUUUGGCGCCUGUUGCUUAUGAAAAAUGGUGACUUUAUUAUCCUUGCAGUAGCUUCACAGGACUUCAACUAAAUUGCAGUUAACGAUGUUGAAGGAUAGCUGGAGGCCUCGUGCGCAUCAUCGCCAGAAAGAUGGCACAUUAGGAAGAAGCCUUAUUGUCUACUGAAGAUAUCUUCCUAUUCAUGCCUGGAUAUUUCCAUUAUUUUGCCACUGGGUUCAUUGUUCCAAAAAAGGCUGAAUAUAUGAAGAGGCAUCAUAUGUUUUCGAGAAGGUAAGGCAAGAAUCCAAGGUUAUGAUCAAGUUCUGAGGUCCUCUUACAAUAUGCAAGGAGGCAACUAGAAAGAGAUUUUAAAGAUUAAUAAGAUAGGCUUCUCCUCCUCUCUGCUCUUAUCUGGGAAGAUAACCUGCAGAAAAAGAAAUUGUGAAGCAAAAGGUGAUAUUUUCAUAAAUGUGAUCAUGUAAGUAAUAUUAAAUUGAAUCUUUAUGACUGAUUGCACCUUUCUAUAAUAUUAGUUGUACCAGAUCUUAAUUUCAGAUUUUAUGUAGCUGGGGAUUUUCUUUUGUUGAUUUUGAAUAAAGAUUUGAUGAAGAGGGUGAAAUA